AUUGAACGCUGGCGGCAGGCCUAACACAUGCAAGUCGAACGAGUGGCGGACGGGUGAGUAAUGUCUGGGAAACUGCCUGAUGGAGGGGGAUAACUACUGGAAACGGUCGCUAAUAACGCAUACCAUCGGAUGUGCCCCGAUGGGAUUAGCUAGUAGGUGGGGUAAAGGCUCACCUAGGCGAAGAUCCCUAGCUGGUCUGAGAGGAUGACCGGCCACACUGGAACUGCUACACGGUCCAGACUCCUACGGGAGGCAUCAGUGGGGAAGAGUGCACAAUGGGCGCAAGCCUGAUGCAGCAAGGCCGCGUGUAUGAAGAAGGCCGUCGGGUUGUAAAGUACUUUCAGCGUGGAGGCGUUACCCGCAGAAGAAGCACCGGCUAACUCCGUGCCAGCAGCCGCGGUAAUAC
rnacentral:rRNA from 1 species